GCCUAAAAGCAUAAAGACCUUGACUUAGAUGCUUUAAAACAUGAAAAGAUGGUAGAUAGAGGAUACAUGUGUAAGUAAGGCGAAAUUUGGGCCUGUUUUGGGAAAUGGUUCAAAACAGCCCCUAGCUACCUAUAAUUUCAAAGUCAGGACUUGAUUUGGAUUUGGUUGUAUUACUAUCUAAUAAAAACUGUGUUGUAAGAAUCCCUUGAUAGCUAAGAAUUUUCAAAAUUGGAACUAUGUAUGUAUAUAUAAUUUAAUGACUACAUAUGCUAAAAGUGCUCACCUUAACUAAGCUAAAGAUUGAUUCUAGUUAUCAUGCUAUGAGUUCUGAACCUUGAUUUUGUAGAGUAAUAAAACCAUUGUUUACUAAGUUUAUAUGCCAAGAAUUGAAAUUGUUAGGUUGAGUGCUUAUACUUGUAAUAAGUGAUUGCUUAUGCUUAUGAUAAUAUGACAUAUUACUAUGCCUAGAACUGUUAUGGACUGGGACAGUAUGCUUGUGACUGGAAUGAGAAUAAAUGACUGUUAAAAGGACUGUAGUUGCUAUACUAAAUGUUAUUACAUUAUAUGAACUGUUAUGUGUUGCUUUACUAACUGUUGUAGUAUUUAAUUGACUGUUAUGCUAUUGUGAUAUUAUUAUGUACUGAAUUUAAGUAGAGGAGAUAGGAUGGGCUGAGGAGUAAUAAGGAGGACAAAAUUGGCUUUCUUACAUAAGCAAAUAUCUAUGACACAAGUAAUUCUAAACUGUGCACAUUAGUAGUUUGAUAAAAGUCCUUAAAGGAUUGUUUUGCUUAACUGUUGGUUAAUUGAUAGAAAUUAAAGCUUGGGCUAGAUACUUACACCACAUAUAAUGACAAUUAGAAAGUUUAAACUUACUAGACUACAAGGAGAUGCAAUUUCAAGCCAAAACCAUGGGUUGAAUUCAUUUUGUCAAGCUAUUUUAUCCACUAUUUUGGGUAGUGUCUUGGAAC
rnacentral:lncRNA from 1 species